AUUCAGCUGACGAGUCCCAAAUGGAACGAAAUGCGCGUCCUGGAU
rfam:Schistosoma curassoni strain Dakar, Senegal genome assembly, scaffold: SCTD_scaffold0003550